CAAAUACUCCCUCCGUCCAGAAAUACUUGUCAUCAAAAUGGAUAAAAGGAAAUGUAUCUAGAUACAUUUCCUUUUAUCCAUUUUGAUGACAAGUAUUUCCGGACGGAGGGAGUAGAAA
rnacentral:pre_miRNA from 1 species